rnacentral:rRNA from 1 species
CAGUAGCCACGGUAAUACGUAGGUCCCGAGCGUUGUCCGGAUUUAUUGGGCGUAAAGGGAGCGCAGGCGGUUUAGUAAGUCUGGAGUUAAAGGCAUUGGCUCAACCAAUGUAUGCUUUGGAAACUGUUUGACUUGAGUGCAGAAGGGGAGAGUGGAAUUCCAUGUGUAGCGGAGAAAUGCGUAGAUAUAUGGAGGAACACCGGUGGCGAAAGCGGCUCUCUGGUCUGUCACUGACGCUGAGGCUCGAAAGCGUGGGGAGCAAACAGGAUUAGAUACCCCAGUAGUCCCUGUCUCUUAUACA